rnacentral:rRNA from 1 species
UCCUGGCUUAGGAUGAACGCUGGCGGCGUGCUUAAUACAUGCAGGUCGAACGAAGACUUCUCGCUGAAUUGAAUUCAUUCUUUCUGAGAUGUCUUAGUGGCGGACGGGUGAGUAACGCGUGGUAACCUGCCUUACACAGGGGGAUAACAGUUAGAAAUGACUGCUAAUACCGCAUAAGCGCACAGUAUCGCAUGAUACAGUGUGAAAAACUCCGGUGGUGUAAGAUGGACCCGCGUCUGAUUAGCUAGUUGGUGAGGUAACGGCCCCACCAAGGCGACGAUCAGUAGCCGGCCUGAGAGGGUGAACGGCCACAUUGGGACUGAGACACGGCCCAAACUCUUACGGGAGGCAGCAGUAGGGAAUAUUGGACAAUGGGGGAAACCCUGAUCCCAGCGACGCCGCGUGAGUGAAGAAGUAUUUCGGUACGUAAAGCUCUAUCAGCAGGGAAGAAAAUGACGGUACCUGACUAAGAAGCACCGGCUAAAUACGUGCCAGCCGCCGC